UCCUAAAAGCAUUGCCCUUGAAAAGCAGGG
rnacentral:piRNA from 1 species